AUUGAACGCUGGCGGCAUGCUAUACACAUGCAAGUCGAACGGUAACAGGUUAAGCUGACGAGUGGCGAACGGGUGAGUAAUGCAUCGGAACGUGCCCGAUCGUGGGGGAUAACGUAGCGAAAGUUACGCUAACACCGCAUACGAUCUGAGGAUGAAAGCGGGGGACCGUAAGGCCUCGCGCGAUCGGAGCGGCCGAUGUCAGAUUAGGUAGUUGGUGGGGUAAAGGCCCACCAAGCCGACGAUCUGUAGCUGGUCUGAGAGGACGACCAGCCACACUGGGACUGAGACACGGCCCAGACUCCUACGGGAGGCAGCAGUGGGGAAUUUUGGACAAUGGGCGCAAGCCUGAUCCAGCAAUGCCGCGUGCAGGAAGAAGGCCUUCGGGUUGUAAACUGCUUUUGUACGGAGCGAAAAGGCUCUCUCUAAUACAGGGGGCUCAUGACGGUACCGUAAGAAUAAGCACCGGCUAACUACGUGCCAGCAGCCGCAGUAACAC
rnacentral:rRNA from 1 species